AAGUCGUAACAAGGUCUCCGUAGGUGAACCUGCGGAGGGAUCGUUAAAGAGUGAAGGCCUUCGGGCCGACCUCCAACCCAUUGUAAUUCAACCUGUGUUUGCCUCGGGGUCGUUGUAAUUACCUCUUCGCGGAGGUUCCCCCGGUGGACCACUUAAACUCAGCUUUAUACCUGCAGUCUGACUACUAUUGAUGAAAAUCAUAACAAAA
rnacentral:misc_RNA from 1 species